GAUGAAGAACGCAGCGAAAUGCGAUAAGUAAUGUGAAUUGCAGAAUUCAGUGAAUCAUCGAAUCUUUGAACGCACAUUGCGCCCGCCAGUAUUCUGGCGGGCAUGCCUGUUCGAGCGUCAUUUCAACCAUCAAGCCCCCGGCUUGUGUUGGGGACCUGCGGCUGCCGCAGGCCCUGAAAAGCAGUGGCGGGCUCGCUGUCACACCGAGCGUAGUAGAUUUCAUCUCGCUCAGGGCGUGCUGCGGGUUCCGGCCGUUAAACCACCUUCAUAACCCAAGGUUGACCUCGGAUCAGGUAGGAAGACCCGCUGAACUUAAGCAUAUCAUAAGCGGAGGA
rnacentral:misc_RNA from 1 species